rnacentral:rRNA from 1 species
GAGGAUAAGCUCGAAAAUUGCCGUUGAGAACUGUAUAAUUAAAAAUUAUUAUGUGGGCCUAAAAUUAGCCAUCACAAAAGUUUGUUAUAAAAUAGUAAAAACACAUGAAAAUAUUUCUAUACACGAUACCACGCUAAGCUAUAAGAAUAAUAAUUUAAACCAAUAAAUUAAUAUACCUAUGCUAGGAUGAGUAUUAAAAUUGCUAUAAGAAAAAUUAAAGAUUUUCUUAGAAAUUGUUUCUAAUGCUAAUUAAAGACAAGGAACUCGGCAAAUGUUGUUCCGCCUGUUUAUCAAAAACAUGGCUCUUUGAAAAAAGCAUAUAAAGAGUCGAACCUGCCCAGUGAAGUUUUAAACGGCCGCGGUACCCUGACCGUGCAAAGGUAGCAUAAUCACUUGCCUUAUAAUUGAAGGCUGGCAUGAAUGGUCUGACGAGAGCUACACUGUCUCCUCUUUAUUAUCUAGAAAUUAACCUAUAGGUGAAGAGGCCUAUAUUAUAUUGAAGGACAAGAAGACCCUGUCGAGCUUAAAAGUAAAGUAAGAAUUAGCUAUAGAAGGAAAUCAAUAAAUUACAUAACUUUUUAGUUGGGGCGACUAAGGAACAAAUAAAGCUUCUUUUAUUUUUAUAGAUUAACAGAUCUUGAUCCAGCUAACGCUGAUUAGAGGAAUUAGUUACCGCAGGGAUAACAGCAUAAUCUCCUUUAAGAGACCUAAUCGAAAGGGGGGGUUGUGACCUCGAUGUUGGACUAGAAUAUCCUGAAGAUGCA